GGGAACGCGGGGCCGUGAGCCGGGGAAAUACAGAGGGUGCAAGCGGUAAGAGGAAUUACUGGGCGUAAAGCGGAAGCAGGCGGUGGGAUAAGGUAGAUGUGAAAGCCCCGGGCGCAACCUGGGAAGUGCAUUUAAAACUGGCCGGCUAGAGGCUUGUAGAGGGGGGUAGAAUUCCAGGUGGAGCGGUGAAAUGCGUAGAGAUCUGGAGGAAUACCGGUGGCGAAGGCGGCCCCCUGGACAAAGACUGACGCUCAGGUGCGAAAGCGUGGGGAGCAAACAGGAUUAGAUACCCCUGUAGUC
rnacentral:rRNA from 1 species